GUAUUAUAGUGAGAAUUCUACUGAUAAUGCACAGUAAAGGUUGAUACAAUCAUUACAAUGUACAGGGUAUUAUACUGAGAAUUCUACUGAUAAUGCACAGUAAAGGUUGAUACAAUCAUUACAAUGUACAGGGUAUUAUAGUGAGAAUUCUACUGAUAAUGCACAGUAAAGGUUGAUACAAUCAUUACAAUGUACAGGGUAUUAUACUGAGAAUUCUACUGAUAAUGCACAGUAAAGGUUGAUACAAUCAUUACAAUGUACAGGGUAUUAUACUGAGAAUUCUACUGAUAAUGCACAGUAAAGGUUGAUACAAUCAUUACAAUGUACAGGGUAUUAUACUGAGAAUUCUACUGAUAAUGCACAGUAAAGGUUGAUACAAUCAUUACAAUGUACAGGGUAUUAUACUGAGAAUUCUACUGAUAAUGCACAGUAAAGGUUGAUACAAUCAUUACAAUGUACAGGGUAUUAUAGUGAGAAUUCUACUGAUAAUGCACAGUAAAGGUUGAUACAAUCAUUACAAUGUACAGGGUAUUAUUCUGAGAAUUCUACUGAUAAUGCACAGUAAAGGUUGAUACAAUCAUUACAAUGUACAGGGUAUUAUAGUGAGAAUUCUACUGAUAAUGCACAGUAAAGGUUGAUACAAUCAUUACAAUGUACAGGGUAUUAUAGUGAGAAUUCUACUGAUAAUGCACAGUAAAGGUUGAUACAAUCAUUACAAUGUACAGGGUAUUAUAGUGAGAAUUCUACUGAUAAUGCACAGUAAAGGUUGAUACAAUCAUUACAAUGUACAGGGUAUUAUUCUGAGAAUUCUACUGAUAAUGCACAGUAAAGGUUGAUACAAUCAUUACAAUGUACAGGGUAUUAUAGUGAGAAUUCUACUGAUAAUGCACAGUAAAGGUUGAUACAAUCAUUACAAUGUACAGGGUAUUAUUCUGAGAAUUCUACUGAUAAUGCACAGUAAAGGUUGAUACAAUCAUUACAAUGUACAGGGUAUUAUUCUGAGAAUUCUACUGAUAAUGCACAGUAAAGGUUGAUACAAUCAUUACAAUGUACAGGGUAUUAUAGUGAGAAUUAUACUGAUAAUGCACAGUAAAGGUUGAUACAAUCAUUACAAUGUACAGGGUAUUAUUCUGGGAAUUCUACUCAUGCUUCAUCAUGAGUCAUGAGGGAUGGAAUUAUUUACAGGGUUUGUGAGCAGAGGGUUAAUGAGUUUACAAUAUUUCAUAUGUAUCAUUUAUAAAUAGCCUAUCAAUGAUUACAUGAAUAGCUGAAAUGUUCAUUUAGUUGGCUGUUUACUAAUCAAAUAUACUUACAAACCCUUGGUGGUA